rnacentral:misc_RNA from 1 species
UUUUAACCUGACCUCUGAGGGU